AGGGAUGCCAACUAAAGCAUCCUUGAUAUCAUCCAGUUCAAUCAUUUGAAGAACCUCUGCUACAAAUUCCUGUUAGAUAGCUUUUAGAGAGUCAACACUAGGCAAUUCUUUUUCCUGAACUCUGUCAGUCAAAUCCUCUUUUCCCUUUAGAUAGGAAAAUCUUUCAUGAGAAAUAAUAGCCCGAGAACUCCCUGGAGCUGCAUCAGCAUAGACAGAUUAGUCACAUUGCUACUCCCAGGAGGGCUUUGAUGGACAGGUACAAAACCUUGAGAGAUGGGUUAAGCUUCCCUGCAAGUGCCUGCAACAAAGUGGUCUUUCCACAGCCUGGAGGGCCAAGCAAGAGAGUCAUCCUGCAUAAAACGUGAGUUUAUGACAGCUUAUCGAUUACUGUGUUGGUACUAUUGUUCUCCAAAAAAAGGACCGUAAACUCAUCGGCCUAAUCAUGCACAGAUGACAUGAAUGUGUAUAAAUCAAUAUCCAGGGUGAAACCUCGAGGGCUUGAUGAUGCCGCUGACAUCUUUGAGAAUUUUUAUCUUGUAUGAUUGGGACUUGCAUCUGCUAACAUUUGUCAAAGCCUGUUCAUCAUAAAUCUCCUUCGUUAUUGGAUGACAUUAAGCUGUCAUGUAUUUGACAAUUAUAUACGGCCAUGAAGGUCAAACCAAUAUAUUGCUACUUUCAAUGUAAUGAAAGCGAAGUGCUUUUAGUCAAAAAGAAAAGAUUAUUCCAGUUGUUUAAUUUUCUGAAGCAAAGAAUUUCCCUGUGUUUUAGCAUAGGUAAACAAUCCUAUCAUGAUUUGGGUUAGGAAGCAAUAUCUUCUUUUAGUAGUGCCAAACACAGAAGUUGUGGGACGAGUUGCAAAGAAGUGAUUAAAACUUACAGAGAAUGCACUGCGG